rnacentral:rRNA from 1 species
GGGGUGGAUUAGUGGCGAACGGGUGAGUAACACGUGGGCAAUCUGCCCUUCACUCUGGGACAAGCCCUGGAAACGGGGUCUAAUACCGGAUAUUACUCCUGCCUGCAUGGGCGGGGGUUGAAAGCUCCGGCGGUGAAGGAUGAGCCCGCGGCCUAUCAGCUUGUUGGUGGGGUAAUGGCCCACCAAGGCGACGACGGGUAGCCGGCCUGAGAGGGCGACCGGCCACACUGGGACUGAGACACGGCCCAGACUCCUACGGGAGGCAGCAGUGGGGAAUAUUGCACAAUGGGCGAAAGCCUGAUGCAGCGACGCCGCGUGAGGGAUGACGGCCUUCGGGUUGUAAACCUCUUUCAGCAGGGAAGAAGCGAAAGUGACGGUACCUGCAGAAGAAGCGCCGGCUAACUACGUGCCAGCAGCCGCGGUAAUACGUAGGGCGCAAGCGUUGUCCGGAAUUAUUGGGCGUAAAGAGCUCGUAGGCGGCUUGUCACGUCGGAUGUGAAAGCCCGAGGCUUAACCUCGGGUCUGCAUUCGAUACGGGCUAGCUAGAGUGUGGUAGGGGAGAUCGGAAUUCCUGGUGUAGCGGUGAAAUGCGCAGAUAUCAGGAGGAACACCGGUGGCGAAGGCGGAUCUCUGGGCCAUUACUGACGCUGA